rnacentral:lncRNA from 1 species
GUCUUUCUGAAUUAAAUUCCGCACCAUGCUAACCUCUUGAGGGUGAAAAAGCUGAAGAGGUAACGUCUGUCCAGGAAUCAACAUCACCAUCACGUGGGGCAACACUGGAAUCACCUGACAGCUGUCAUCAUCGUGCAGCGUUCUCCCGUGAAACUCUUCCAUAUCAGAACCUAAAUACAUGUGUGAUGUUGGCAAACUGGUGUCAAAAUUAAUCAUGUUUGGCUUUUCGGCUUCUUUACCAUCUUGAUCUUCAACUUCCAUUUCAUUGUCAUCCUCUUCCUCGCUCUCUGCAGGCACCAGCUGCAGGUGGUUCCCCAUGUUACGGCGUCCGUCACCUCCCUCCUCGGCGGCCAUCGCUGUUUACCUGGAG